UUUUCUUCUUCUUUUUUUUUUUUUUUUUUUUUAAUUUCAAACAAAAAAUGGGCAAAUUU
rnacentral:ribozyme from 16 species